rnacentral:rRNA from 1 species
GUCGAGAAUCUUUCACAAUGGGGGCAACCCUGAUGGAGCGACGCCGCGUGGAGGAUAAGGUCUUCGGAUUGUAAACUCCUGUCAUGCGUGAACAAGGUUGCUUGGUUAAUACCUGGGCAAAUUGAUGGUAACGCAAGAGGAAGAGACGGCUAACUCUGUGCCAGCAGCCGCGGUAAUACAGAGGUCUCAAGCGUUGUUCGGAAUCACUGGGCGUAAAGGGUGCGUAGGUGGCGUGGUAAGUCAGAUGUGAAAGCCCGGGGCUCAACCUCGGAACUGCAUCCGAUACUGCCAUGCUAGAGUACUGGAGAGGUGACUAGAAUUCUCGGUGUAGCAGUGAAAUGCGUAGAUAUCGAGAGGAAUACCAAAGGCGUAGGCAGGUCACUGGACAGUUACAGACACUGAGGCACGAAGGCCAGGGGAGCGAACGGGAUUAGAUACCCCGGUGUCC